GGUAUUGAUUGCAUAUAUAUAGAGAGAGAGAGUAGGGCUGUUACUCUUAUGAGUGUCAGGCCCUUUUUACUCAUAAGUUGUUUACGAUGAUGGGAUUUUCAAAUUGAUGAUCCACUCCGUUAAAUAUGAUCUAGAGUAUUUGAAACUUCUAAAAAAUAAAUUUCGUAAUUUUUCGAAAUCAUAAUAAAGUCCAUCAAGCGGGUAUGAAAUGAACGGUCGAAAUCGAACGACGUCUUAAAAACGGAUGAUCGGAUCCUUCAAUUUAAGAUCGGAGUUAUUGAUCUUUAUCUAGGUAGUGAAUAGAAUUUUUUAUUAAAAAUUCAACCGAUUCCGAUUCUUUUACACCGUUAAACUAGCAAGUAUCCCAUACCGGCCGUUAAAAAUUAUCAAUUUUGCAACCUUUUGAUCGCAAGGUAAAUGAUGUCAAAAAAUUAUGACAUUUGAUUUCUAGAAGUUUUAAAUGCUCUACUCUAGAUAACGUUUGACGGUAUGGAUCGUCGAUUCGAAAUCUCUAUCAUCGAAAACAACUUAUACGUACGAAAGUGAUCAUACUCAUAAGAGUAUAGUAGCUGGACUCUAUAUAUAUAUAUAUAUAUAUAUAUAUAUAUAUAU
rnacentral:lncRNA from 1 species